GACGAACGCUGGCGGCGUGCUUAACACAUGCAAGUCGAACGGAAAGGCCCCUUUGGGGGUACUCGAGUGGCGAACGGGUGAGUAACACUUGAGUAACCUGCCCUUGACUUCGGGAUAACUUCAGGAAACUGGGGCUAAUACCGGAUAGGAAUCCUUGCUGCAUGGUGGGGGUUGGAAAGCUUCGGCGGUUUUGGAUGGACUCGCGGCUUAUCAGCUUGUUGGUGGGGUAGUGGCUUACCAAGGCUUUGACGGGUAGCCGGCCUGAGAGGGCGACCGGCCACAUUGGGACUGAGAUACGGCCCAGGCUCCUACGGGAGGCAGCAGUGGGGAAUAUUGCUCAAUGGGCGGAAGCCUGAUGCAGCAGCGCCGCGUGCGGGAUGACGGCCUUCGGGUUGUAAACCGCUUUCAGCAGGGGCGAAGCUUGUGGUGACGGUACCUGCAGAAGAAGCACCGGCUAACUACGUG
rnacentral:rRNA from 1 species